ensembl:lncRNA
CUGGUGCUCACUGAUUGAUCAAAGUACUGUGUUAUUUCCACUGGCAAGCAGAGGUAAAGUAAGAAAGCCUUAGGUCAUGAAUUGUUACCUCUUGCCUUCGAAUCACAGCCUCGCUACUUACUAAUCUACAUGGCAUCUGUGGCCCUCACUUCUCUGCCAGACUCCAUGUCCCGAAGGCUGACCUUGCAGAGUGCACCACCUGGGCUACCUGUUCAGUUCAACCAACAAGAAUUGUCCUCUUCCACUGCCUCAAUGCUAAGGAUCCAACUGUGGCUUCUCCUUUUAUAACAACUCCUGAUAGACUCUUACCAUAACACCAGCUCUCCCUAAGAUCCAAAAACAUGAUUGCC